CCUACGGGAGGCAGCAGUGGGGAAUAUUGCGCAAUGGGGGAAACCCUGACGCAGCAACGCCGCGUGAGUGAGGAAGGACUUCGGUCUGUAAAGCUCUGUUAAUGAGGAAAAAAUGGUAGUUGGUCUAAUAGGCCGAUUAUUUGAUGGUACUCAUAGAGGAAGCACCGGCUAACUUCGUGCCAGCAGCCGCGGUAAUACGAAGGGUGCAAGCGUUGUUCGGAUUUAUUGGGCGUAAAGCGCGCGUAGGCGGACCUGCAAGUAAGAUGUGAAAUCUCGAGGCUCAACCUCGAAACUGCGUCUUAAACUACAGGUCUAGAAUCUCGGAGGGGGAAGGGGAAUUUCGCAUGUAGGGGUAAAAUCCGUAGAUAUGCGAAGGAACACCAGAGGCGAAGGCGCCUUCCUGGACGAGUAUUGACGCUGAGGCGCGAAAGCGUGGGGAUCAAACAGGAUUAGAUACCCUGGUAGUCCACGCUGUAAACGAUGAACACUAGGUAUUGGAGGAUUUGACCCCUUCAGUGCCGUAGCUAACGCGUUAAGUGUUCCGCCUGGGAAGUACGGUCGCAGCUAAACUUAAAGGAAUUGACGG
rnacentral:rRNA from 1 species